rnacentral:tRNA from 1 species
GUCGGCCUGGGCAUCGCGGUGGCCUGCCUGGCGGGCAGCCGGUACGGGCUGGGCAGCAUCUGGCCCGGCGUGUUCCGCACCCCGCUGGCCGACA